AGGCAGGCAGGCAGUCAGUGUGAAGCGAGCCCUGGUGUCGUGUGGAAGCCUGCGGUCGGUGCUGAUCAUUACCUUCUCAGUCCUGCGCGGAUUCCCAUAUCCACAAAGGAUUUCCGUUCCCCUUCCUCCCAAAGCGGGAUCUUGCCCCAAGCAGGCCCAGGGAGAGUCUGACCUGCAGUGUGUGCGGAUUUCGUCGGAUUCACGCGAAGAUAUUGGGGAGUGAGGGAGUGAGGGUGUGUCAGUGUUUGCGCCCCCGAGGUUAGGGAAACCUAUCGGGAGGCCCCAGUGUUUUAGUGAGGAUUACUGUUCACGAGCAAAGGAUUCCGUUAUUCGCUGAGGAUUACGAGCUGUACGCCAAGGAUCUCCUACCAUUCAGCAAGGAUUUGAGUGUCCACAAAGGGUCACCGUAAUUGCCCGGGAGAAUUCCGAACGCCAUUGGGAGAUUCCAGGAUCCAAGUUGCGCGGUGCCGGGUCGAACCUCUUUAUGGGACGCGGAGACCCAAGCGGAUCGAGAGCGCGCGGCUGCGGCGGCUGCGGCGGACCCUGCCAGGACCAGCAUUAAGUCGACGCUCGAGCAGGGCCUGACGACAACGACGGUGGUGGUGGUGGCGACGAUUCUGCGGUAAGUACGACUAUCUGCUCUUGUUAUACAUUCGAGAUCUUUGGGUUUUAAUUGGCGAUUCUUAGGUAAGUACGACUGUCGGUCCUUUUUUU
rnacentral:lncRNA from 1 species